UGUGGCCUGAGAGGACGGCCAGGACUGGCCAGAAAAGAGAGGGACGUGGCUAAACGUGAGGGGGCGUGGCCAAGAUGGCCGCGUGCGGGAUCCUCGGGUACCGGGAGCGAACGAGGAGGUUCUGGCUCAGUGCAUCCACUCUGGGAGAGCGUGGACCUGGUUCCUGGGGGCGAUCGCCAGUCACCCAUCAACAUUCGGUGGAGGGACAGUGUUUAUGAUCCCGGCUUAAAACCACUGACCAUCUCUUAUGACCCAGCCACCUGCCUCCACGUCUGGAAUAAUGGGUACUCUUUCCUCGUGGAAUUUGAAGAUUCUACAGAUAAAUCAGCUGCACUUAGUGCAUUGGAACGCAGUCAAAUUUGAAAACUUUGAGGAUGCAGCACUGGAAGAAAAUGGUUUGGCUGUGAUAGGAGUAUUUUUAAAGAUUUCGGAAACUUCUGGCAGCCCAGUGUCUACUGGAAGGCCCAAGCCGCUUGCCAGAAAGCUGCGCCCCGCCCAAAAGCACUGGGUUCUGCAGUCCAGGCCCUUCCUCAGCUCCCAGGUCCAGGAGAACUGCAAGGUCACCUACUUCCACAGGAAGCACUGGGUCCGCAUCCGGCCCCUCCGCACCACUCCUCCCAGCUGGGACUACACCCGCAUCUGCAUCCAGAGAGAGAUGGUCCCCGCCCGCAUCCGCGUCCUGAGAGAGAUGGUCCCCGAGGCCUGGAGGUGCUUUCCCAACAGGCUGCCGCUGCUGAGCAACAUCAGGCCUGAUUUCUCCAAGGCUCCCCUGGCCUACGUGAAGCGGUGGCUUUGGACCGCCCGCCACCCCCACAGCCUGUCCGCAGCCUGGUGACCGUGAAAAUCGCCCCGCCAGAGAGCAGAGGAAGCCCGACGCCCAGGCCAUCUGCCUUCAGGUCUGUGAUGAGAAACGGAGUGGCCUGUUCCGUUGUGCCCAGGUCUAGGCCGCUGAGCAGAGCCCUCACUCCCAGGCAGAGUUGUCUGAAUCCUUCCU
rnacentral:lncRNA from 1 species